UAGUAACUCAGUCGAGAAGUUUAAGAAAGAGCCAACCUGGAUUCCAUCCGGUCGGCCUGAUACAGAAAUAAUCCCUGAACCAUGGGCACCUAAAGAGGUAUUUAACAUAUCAUCUAUUGAUCAAGCUGCAGAAGAUCUGAAGCCUUUGACAGAUAGCACUAGUAAAGAUGUGAAUACGCCUAGUGCUGAAGCUGCAAUUGAGUCGAAGAUUUUAACGGAGAGCAAUGGUCAGGAUGAAAAUAUCUCAUCCUCAAACGGGGUUUUGAGCCAAAAGGAAGAUUUAACAACCAAUGACAACCAGAAAUCUAACAGGAAAGCUUCU
rnacentral:lncRNA from 1 species